rfam:Triticum aestivum genome assembly, contig: Triticum_aestivum_CS42_TGACv1_scaffold_577175_7BL
UUAGUACUCCCUCCGUCCGAAAAUACUUGUCAUAAAAAAAAUAAACAAGGAUGUAUCUAGACAUAUUUUAGUUCUACAUACGUCUCUUUUCAUUCAUUUUGAUGACAAGUAUUUUUGGACGGAGGGAGUACAGA